rnacentral:rRNA from 1 species
CUACGGGUGGCUCCAGUAAGGAAUAUUGGUCAAUGGGCGAAAGCCUGAACCAGCCAUGCCGCGUGAGUGAAGACGGCCUUCGGGUUGUAAAACUCUUUUCUAAGGGAAGAACCAGCAGGACAGGAAAUGGUCCCGCUCUGACGGUACCUUAGGAAUAAGGAACGGCUAACUCCGUGCCAGCAGCCGCGGUAAUACGGAGGUUCCAAGCGUUGUUCGGAUUUACUGGGCGUAAAGGGAGCGCAGGCGGAAGGGUCAGUCUGAAGUGGAAUCCCGGGGCUCAACCUCGGACGUGCUUUGGAUACUGCCCUUCUUGAGUCCGUGAGAGGAAAGCGGAAUUCAGGGUGUAGCGGUGAAAUGCUUAGAUAUCCUGAGGAACACCAAUGGCGAAAGCAGCUUUCUGGCACGUGACUGACGCUGAGGCUCGAAAGCGUGGGGAGCGAACGGGAUUAGAUACCCCCGAGUC